rnacentral:rRNA from 1 species
ACUCCUACGGGAGGCAGCAGUAAGGAAUAUUGCGCAAUGGGCGACAGCCUGACGCAGCGACGCCGCGUGGGGGAUGACGGUCUUCGGAUUGUAAACCCCUUUCGGCAGGGAAGAUGGAACGGGUAACCGUUCGGACGGUACCUGCAGAAGCAGCCACGGCUAACUUCGUGCCAGCAGCCGCGGUAAU